UGAGACCUUCAGAGAAGCUGAUGCAAAUAAGGAAAUUUGUCUUAAGCGCAGUAGAUAGAUCAAAGUUCCUCUCUCAUACUGGCUUGGUUAUAACCAUCUCACCCUGAACACACACACACACACACACACACUUGUGUUAUCUCAGACCUUUGGCCAUUUUGUCCUGGUCCUAAAACUCCUUGACUUUCAGCUCCCCAUAAAUUCUCUCCUUUAUGUUCACUGCAGCAUCUUGAAUGGCAAGUGCUAUUCGCUGAGGUCUUUGUAGAGCAAGAUACUAAAUUAUAGUAUAUAUAGAUAUCCUGGGCGCUGUUCUACUUUGCAUUCAAGAUAAGGAUGAGGAGACUUUUCCCAAAAGUCACGACUUCCAGGAAACCCAGGGAGAAAAGGUAAAAACCAGAAAAUCCUUUAGGUCUGUUAUGGGGCCUCUCUUUCUCGCUGAAAACAAGAAAGUCUCUUUAGCUGACUUUUGGUCUUAACAACCACUGUUCAAAAAAAGGAUUAAAAUCAGAGAUCCUGCCUUCUUGACCCACAACAGCUAAACAGUUCAGGUCUCCAGGGUCAUGCAUAUCUCUCUCUCUCUCUCUCCCUCUCUCUCUCUCUCUCUCUCUCUCUCUCUCCCAUAUAUUAUUUACUCAAGAGUCCAUACCAACCCUUUGGGGGCUGUUAGAAUCCAUUUUAUAGUGUGUUGGUCACUGACCUGAUAAGUCAUAAUCGUUCAGAAAGCAUCAUGAGUUUUAUCAGGUAAGGGCAGCUGCUGGGCAGGCACUGGAAAUCCUGGGCCUUCAAAUCUGCACAAUGACUAUUCUCUGGAAGAAAUGCUCAAUGACUGUGCUGUGCGUGCGCUGACAGACCGCCCCCUCAUAAGUAGAAUCUACCUCUGGACUUUGGAGAUUUCAAGUUACUGAGCGUUCGUCAACUGGCAAAACAUAUAUAAUAUAUAAUGUUGCCCGAUCCUGUGCACAUUUGACCUUCAGACUCUGAACUGCUCAGUGGCUUGAGAUCUGUUUGUAAGGAAGGGGAAUUGUUUUUUGUUGUAUGUUUUGUGCGUGUGGUAGUGAGGGUGGGGGGUCAGGCAGCGCAAUAAGAUCUGUAAUAUCUAAUGUCCUCUAGAAAACCCGAGCACACAGAGAAGUUCAUGUUUUAAUCAAUUUUAUGGUUGAAAUGCUUUUGAAAGCUAUUAUUUUGGAAAACCAAGAAAAUCCCAACCUAAUGCGCUAAAUCACUAAGAUGUCUAUAUCUCUUGCCCCAAGACAGACUUUUAAAAGUCAUUAGAGAUAAAUAAAAACAAUUCAUUUCCAGGUGGCCCUCCUCUAUAUUAAAGCUUCCCUCCCCUCCUCUUCCUCCUCCUCCCCGUCCUCCUCUCCCUCCUCCUUUUUUUUUUUUUUUAUUUGUUUGGUUGUUUUUUUUUGUUUGCUCCAGCUCCAUUUGUUUAAUUUUUUUUCUCAUUCCUUUCAAGUUAUAAACUUCUUACAACAAGGCUUUGCAUAACAAUGCUGGCAGACCCUUAACCACAACCGUGCGGAUGCUGCUGCUUUGCUUUAAUUUGGCUUGAUUUAAGUGAGACAAACGCAGACUAAAAGAGGGCAUGCAUUUGGAGGUGAUUCCAUAGACUCGGUUUUAACCAACAGUCUUUAUAAGUGUUCAUUAAGAAACUCCACCAGGCAUGUUUCCUGCUGCAGAAUCGACUUUAACGGAAGAAAUAAAGCUGCGAAGAUUCCGUUUUCACUUUGUUUCUCGUAAAGACAGUCAGCAUCCAACAUAAACAACAAUUUACACCCAGCAUUUAUUCUGGAAAUUACAGUAUCGUGCAGUUAACGCACACAGAUAAAUAAUGUUUUAUGGGAUGCCGUGGAGCCCUUUCAGGGUAGCGGAUGCUUAACCGAAUUAAAGGAUUUUCAGAACUCAGAGCUCUCAUUUUAAGCAGGUUUAAACAGUUAAUAUUACGAAACACAAGCACAGAGGAGCUGGCCCAAAUAUAUUUUUAAUGCACACUUAUUUUAUUUCCAUGGCUUCCCAUUUUGGUUUUAUUGCCAUUUGGCACCUUCCGUAGAUACUAAGUCAACUUGUCUCCCAAACCCUCUCCCUGGGGACUUUGCCUGCUUUAUGAUGACACUCCUUAAUCCACUUUUUAAUCCCCUCUAUGUCUGCAGGUGUAGAACUAUCAGAAAUGAAACUAUAAUUCCUGCUAGAUGGGUUAUAUCACAGAGCUGAUUAUAAAAAAUAAAGAAUGAUGAUUUUAAAUAAACAGUGCCCCCAGAAUGUUUGGUUUGGCUUGUCUGCUUUAGGGAAAAGAGAGGAUUGUAUAUUCAAGCUGGGGUUUGACCUUUCCGUUGGGGAGAGGGACACGUUAAAAAAUGAAGGAGGGGAAAAUGAUUCUCCCAAAUUAUCAGAGAGUAUAACAGGUUAGGCUCGUUUUAACAUACAGCAUAAAAUGCCGUCAGUAAAAGCAGAUACAAACACCGAGGAGGAAAGAGGAGAGAAGCUAGGAGACUUUCUGCUGUGGAGGAGGGAUGCUGCCCCGAUACGCAGGUGCAGACCACGGGCUACAGCAAGUAGACUUCUGAAGCGGAUAGGUGCCUGCUUGCCCCAGACCUGUAACCAAGGUCUUCCAAAGCGGAUAGAAGACCGCUCACCCUUGGAGCUGUAACCAAUCUGUGCUUUUUUUCAACAGAUGACUCCCUCUCUGUGUUGUUAGGGCUUCAUAGCCUUCCACCGUCCCUUUCUAUGUUGGUCGGGCUUCAUAGCCGUCUCAUCGCUCAUGAGCUUCUGGGUGCUUCCAGAUAAGCGAUAUGUGUCAACAGCUAUCAGGAAGCCAUCGUUUUAAGCCAAAUUCAAGUUGUGAUUUUCAAACUU
rnacentral:lncRNA from 1 species